AUCAGCUACUAUAUUUCUAUGAUUGGUAUGCUAUUGCAUGUGUUGUGUUGGUGUUUUUGGUUUUUUUUUCUGAUUUGUAGGUUUUUGUAAUAUAAUACGCCUGAACAUUAAGAUUCUAAACUGUAAACUACACUGAAGACUUGUAAUUAGAUAGACGUACCUCAAUAUUAGGCAGCAAUCAAACACAAGUAUGACUAAAACAUAGAAAUAUCGAAGUUCUAAGAAGACAUGAAAAAGGUGUACACG
rnacentral:lncRNA from 1 species